rnacentral:rRNA from 1 species
UGAAUACGAGAUGCUACGGCGUCGAAGCAGUGUAUGUCAGACUUCCAAGAAAAGCUCGCAAUGUCAUAAAUAAAGAAUGCCUGUACCAUAACCGACACAGGUGGGUAGGUAGAGUAUACUAAGGGGCGCGAGAUAACUCUCUCUAAGGAACUCGGCAAAAUAACUCCGUAACUUCGGGAGAAGGAGUGCCUUCUUUAAGAAGGUUGCAAUAACAAGAUCCAAGCAACUGUUUAUCAAAAACACAGGUCUCCGCUAAGUCGUAAGACGAUGUAUGGGGGCUGACGCCUGCCCAGUGCCAGAAGGUUAAAGAAGCUGGUUAGCAAUAGCGAAGCUGGUGACUGAAGCCCUGGUGAACGGCGGCCGUAACAAUAACGGUCCUAAGGUAGCGAAAUUCCUUGUCGGGUAAGUUCCGACCCGCACGAAAGGCGUAAUGAUUUGGAUACUGUCUCGGAGAGGGACUCGGUGAAAUAGACUUGUCUGUGAAGAUGCGGACUACCUGCACCAGGACAGAAAGACCCUAUGAAGCUUUACUGUAACCUGAAAUUGAAAUUGGACUUUAUUUGCGCAGUAUAGGUGGGAGGCGUUGAAAGUAAUCUUGCGGGAUUAGUGGAGCCAUCAGUGAGAUACCACUCCUAUAAUGUUAGAUUUCUAACUUUGGAUCAUGAUCUGGUCAAAGAACAGUUUCAGGCGGGCAGUUUGACUGGGGCGGUCGCCUCCCAAAUGGUAACGGAGGCGUACAAAGGUUUCCUCUGAACGGGUAGAAAUCGUAUCUAGAGUGUAAAGGCAUAAGGAAGCUUGACUGUGAGACCUACAAGUCGAGCAGGGACGAAGGUCGGUCUUAGUGAUCUGACGGUGCUGAGUGGAAAGGCCGUCACUCAACGGAUAAAAGUUACUCUAGGAUAACAGGCUGAUCUCCCCCAAGAGUUCACAUCGACGGGGAGGUUUGGCACCUCGAUGUCGGCUCAUCGCAUCCUGGGGCGGUAGUACGUCCCAUGGGUUGGGCUGUUCGCCCAUGAAAGCGGUACGCGAGCUGGGUUCAGAACGUCGUGAGACAGUUCGGUCCAUAUCCGGUGUAGGCGUUAGAAUAUUGAGAGGAGCCUUCUCUAGUACGAGAGGACCGAGAAGGACAUACCUCUGGUGUACCAGUUAUCGUGCCAACGGUAAACGCUGGGCAGCUAUGUAUGGAGAGGAUAACCGCUGAAAGCAUCUAAGUGGGAAGCCCACCUCAAGAUGAGUAUUCUCAUCAU